CCUAGCCAACACGAUCCAAUUGCCUGGGUUAUUCUUGUGCUACAAA
rnacentral:rRNA from 2 species